rnacentral:rRNA from 1 species
GUAACACGUAGUCAACCUGCCCUGGAGACAUGCAAAACCCCGGGAAACUGGGAUUAAUCCGUGAUAGGUCACCUCAUCUGGAAGGAGAGAUGGCUUAAAGGGGUGCGAGAGCUUCUUUCUUGCAUUCGCUCCAGGAUGGGACUGCGGCCGAUCAGGCUGUUGGCGGUGUAAUGGACCACCAAACCUGUAACCGGUACGGGCCUUGAGAGAGGGGGCCCGGAGAUGGACACUGAGAGAAGGGUCCAGGUCCUACGGGGCGCAGCAGGCGCGAAACCUUCGCAAUGCGCGAAAGCGUGACGAGGUUAAUCCGAGUGGUCCCCGCUGAGGGGAUCUUUUGUUGGCUGUAAAAAGGCCGAUGAAUAAGGGGAGGGCAAGUCUGGUGUCAGCCGCCGCGGUAAUACCAGCUCCUCGAGUGGUCGGGGCGAUUAUUGGGCCUAAAGCAUCCGUAGCCGGUUCUGUAGGUCCUCUGUCAAAUCCAACGGCUUAACCGUUGGCCCGCAGAGGAUACCGCAGGACU